UACGUAGGUGACAAGCGUUAUCAGGAAUUAUUGGGCGUAAAGAGCGCGCAGGUGGUUGAUUAAGUCUGAUGUGAAAGCCCACGGCUUAACCGUGGAGGGUCAUUGGAAACUGGUCGACUUGAGUGCAGAAGAGGGAAGUGGAAUUCCAUGUGUAGCGGUGAAAUGCGUAGAGAUAUGGAGGAACACCAGUGGCGAAGGCGGCUUCCUGGUCUGUAACUGACACUGAGGCGCGAAAGCGUGGGGAGCAAACAGGAUUAGA
rnacentral:rRNA from 1 species